ACGGACAAAAUAAAUCUCUUCAAUCCACGCUCUAUAGUUUCAUCAGCAACAAGUUCAUUUGAGAGAGAGAGAGAGAGAGAGAGGAUGAAGCGUCAUUAUCCCUCCUCCGUAACCAUCGUCGUCUUCCCCAUCCUUCUCCAUCUCAUUUUCACACUUCCAGCAGCCCAGCGCACGUUAGCGCAGGAGCCUCUAUGCCUGACCAAGUGCGGCCCAUUAGACAUCAAGUACCCCCUAGGUACCGGCCACGGCUGCGGGUCCCCGCGCUUCCACCCCUACAUAACCUGCGCCUCCUCCUACGAUGGCGGUCGGCUACUCCUCACCACUCACACCGGCUCUUACCCCAUAACUUCCAUAUCCUACGCCACCUCCACCCUAAUCAUCACCCCACCCUCCAUGUCCAACUGCACCGCCAUGCUCCCCUCCACCUCCAACUUGGGCCUGGACUGGGCCGGCCCAUUCCAACUCGGCCCAUCAACUUUCAUCCUCCUAUCCUGCCCGCCGCCCACUUCCGCCCUCGCCGUCAAAGGCGCCGCCAUCUGCGACCCCUCCACCCUUUACCUCUGCGCCUCCAUCUACACCUGCCCGGCAGUGGUGGGGCUUGGGCUGCCGCUGUUUCCGCCCACCAACACGUGCUGCGUCUACGCGCCGGCGAAUCUCAACCCCAAGGGGGAAUUGGACCUCGCCGGGCUGAAGUGCGCCGGGUACGCGUCGGUGGUGGAUCUUGGGGACGUGCCGACGGACCCGGAGCGGUGGAAGUACGGCGUGGAGUUGAAGUACACCGAAGGGGGCAAGGAUGGGUACAAUAUUUCGCCCAAUUGUCUUGGCUGCGAGAUGAGUAAUGGCGUUUGUGGGUAUGCCCCUCCCAGCAAUUCGUUUCUGUGUGUUUGCAGAGGCUAUAAUACGUCUACGGAUUGCUAUAACAACAACCCCGAUGAAGGCAUGUUCUUGAGCUUCAGUCCCAGAUCAAUUUAUGAGGAAAAAUGACUUGCGCCCUUGAGCGGCCUGUGUUGAUGAUUUUCGUUGGCAGUGGCUUGAGGAGAAAGAGAGGAGCAGAUUUCUGCACCAUUAUCAGCAGCUGAACUCAGACAUUGGGGCAUUCAAGAAUAGCAGUCAGUAACACAGAAAUACUCCAUGGAAAGAGUCAUCGGCCUGGAAGCCAAUCUUGGCAUCUAGCAGUAAGAUUGAGAAUAAAGAUCAUCCUAGCAAGAAACACGUUUAAGAUUUGAAGAUAGUUACUUGUAGGGACUUAUUUUUAUGUAUUCAUUUCAAAAGUGUACUAAUGGUGGUUCCCCUCGUCAUUAAGGAUGCCCUCAAUUUCUUAAAUCUCUUUUAUAGUUGAUAAGUGUAGAAUUCCAGCUGUGCAUCAAUAUCCUUUAUGCUUUCUAUCUGCUAGUGCCGUGAAUGAAGAAUGGGCUGCUCACGGCUGCUUAGGCUUAUCAUCUUAUUCGGAAGAAGAGUUUAUCGCCUUUAAAGAUAUCUUAUUUAUCUAUUCAUGUAUUAUGUUUAUCUUAUGAAUUAAUUGAGUGUAUAAUCUAGUCCUAAAAAUUAGGAGUCCUCAUCCUAAUAUCAAGAAGCUAAAGUCUAGGAGAUUUUUUAGGAAUUCUUAGCCAAAGUUCAUGUAUAUAUUGUAAUCUGUUCUCUCGGAUUUAAGUAAGAAAAGAGAAGGAACAAGAAGUUCCAGUUUCUUCAAUAAGUCUAGCACAAUCGGAUAAAAAAUUGACUAAAAAGAAAACUAUACAGGCUGGAGCAAUCAUAGUUUGGCCAAAGAACUUCCUUUGCAGAAAGAUCAACUGGAUUGAACCUUUACCCUCUAUCCUCUGCCCUUUGGCUUACACCAGUUUGAAUCAACCCAAAUAUUCCAUAAUACAACUCAUUAAUAACAUUAAACUGUCCCAUCAACAACCAGCCCUAGGAAUCAACAAAAGAAAAUUUAACAUAAGCAACAAUAGUACAAGCGGUAGAGGUUCAGUAGCCUACUACAUGACGCUCCAAACAACCAAGUUGCAAUAGACAAGCUACCAAACCUCCAAUUUCCAACCAAUAACAUCCGAAAGAGAGAAAGGUAAUAACAAGAAGCGAUUGAAGGGCUUCACACAAUGGUUGACUGAUGACACUAAAUAUACUAUGCGUGUUCAAGAACAAGAUUCUUGUUGAGGUGUGAUACCCAACAAGUCCAAGGUGAUGAUGUGUUUGGUCGGGUAAGUUAUCUAUCAUAGGUCUCGGUCCAGGAUUGAUAGUUUUUUGAGAGGUCCAAUCCCACAAAGAGAUGGCCCAACAAGAAGAUAGCCCAAGCACAUUUACCUUGUGUUUGAGGAAAGCUGGGCUUGGCCCAGCUGCUCAAACCAAGGACCAAGCCCAUUUGUCUAAAGCCCACAAUGCCUUAUCUCAAAGCCCACAUAUAUAUACCUUAGUUUGACCUAGCUUCUCCAUUUUUGUUCUCUGGCCGAUUCCAACGCAGAUUUGUUUCUUCUUUAGCCGUUUCCAACGCAAGUAUGGUUCUCUUCCCUUAUCUUAUCUCAACCUAUCUGAUAACCCAAUGGUUAUCCUCAUCCUUGGAGAUAUCUAUCUGGUUCUUGGGAGGUUAUUUUGAUCCAUAUAUUGGGGAAAUAGGGGGUGCCGAAUGAGGGUGAAUGCGAGAAGAGAGAGAGAGAGAACCGAGAGUGAGAAAGAGUGUUCUCCUUGAUGGGGUUUACUUCGUCCUUGUGUGGGUGUGCUAUUCUCGGUUGUGGGUUUUGUGAUUGAGGCUGUUUUGGGCGUCGAUUGAAUGCGGUUCUUGGGCUGUGCUUGGAACUGAUUCUAGGGUACCUUUUGUGGGUGUCGGACCGAUCAACGUUGGACCUUGCAAAUCCACCUUCUUCUUCUUCUCCAUUGCCGAGCAUCAACAGGGAGUGUGCUGUUUCUUUUGUUUCAGUUUGCUGUUCUUAUUUUUCAGCUUCUGUUCUUUGGGUUUUUACUUACUGUUUUUGCUAUUUUUUCACCCUAAAGAUUAGAUCUUGUGGUUGUUUUGCGAGGUAUUAUCUCUACAGUUCUCCAAGCAAAGGUCCUGAGAAUUACCCAUCAAACAUUACAACUACGAAAUACUUUACAUUAUGUUGUGGACUUAACCUUGUCCUUGCAUUUGGAAGCAAGGAUGACUGUGUCUGUCACUGAAGAAUACGAAUCCUAGAACUAAUUAGCAAAACCCUCUCCAUGCUUCAGGAGUAAGGUCUACUACAGGCAGUUCACAAUUUUCAUAGUCAAUUUCCCAAAUCAUCCUUGACCAUGCCCUCUGAAUGCAGCAAAUUUCCCAGUUUACAAUCCAAAUUAUAGAUUGAAGAGGGACAUAUGUCAUCACUUCGACUCAAUCCUAUCCCCAAUUAAUGAAUUGUUUAUAAAGAGCACAGGAAUAUGAAAUUUUCAAGAGGAAAUUGCAACUCCCAACCAAAAAGAAGAAAUCAUCAGGCACUGAAGUGAAUUUCUGAAA